rnacentral:rRNA from 1 species
GACGAACGCUGGCGGCGUGCUUAACACAUGCAAGUCGAACGAAGUGGCGAACGGGUGAGUAACGCGUAAUCAACCUGCCCUUCAGAGGGGGACAACAGUUGGAAACGACUGCUACUACCGAAUACUGCAGGAGGGGAUUGCGUCGGAUUCGCUCGUUGGAGGGGUAACGGCCCACCAAGGAGAUGAACAGUAGCCGGUCUGAGAGUAGUAACGGCAACAGUGGGACUGAGACACGGCCCAGACUCCUACGGGAGGCAGCAGUGGGGAAUCUUCCGCAAUGGACGAAAGUCUGACGGAGCAACGCCGCGGGAGUGAGGACGGCCUUCGGGUUGUAAAGCUCUGUUAAUCGGGACGCGGUACCGGAAUAGAAAGCCACGGCUAACUACGUGCCAGCAGCCGCGGUAAUUC